GAGGGUAAUACACGAUAGAUAGGAUGGACUUAAAAUCCGUUGAUCGUGAGAUCGUGCGAGUUCAAGUCUCGCUACCCCCA
rnacentral:tRNA from 2 species